AUGCUUUGUACCCUGUGACACCACCA
rnacentral:piRNA from 4 species